GUGCUCACUUUGGUAGCACAUCUACUAAAAUUGGACCGAUACAGAGAUUAGCAUGGCCACUGUGAAAGGAUAACGCACAAAUUCAUGAAACAUUCCAUAAUAUU